rnacentral:rRNA from 1 species
UACGAAGGGGGCUAGCGUUGUUCGGAAUUACUGGGCGUAAAGGGCGCGUAGGCGGCGUGUCAAGUCAGGCGUGAAAGCCCCGGGCUCAACCUGGGAACCGCGCUUGAGACUGGCAUGCUCGAGUUCGGGAGAGGAUGGUGGAAUUCCCAGUGUAGAGGUGAAAUUCGUAGAUAUUGGGAAGAACACCGAUGGCGAAGGCAGCCAUCUGGAUCGACACUGACGCUGAGGCGCGAAAGCGUGGGGAGCAAACAGG